AAACUAUCUUGGCCUUUUGGCUAAGAUCAAGUGUGGUAUCUGUUCUUAACAGUUUAAUAUCCGAUACAUCUUCUAUUCAAGGACAAUAUAUUAAAUGGAGUUUUGAAAUUAGGAGUUGGAAUAGGAGCUUCUCUAUCCACUCCACGCAUCAACCUGGUAUUGCAGUACCUUCAGGAAUGGUGCAAACAAA